CAGAUGACACUGAACGUCACUUAAGUGAAAAAAACGGGCGGUCCGGUCAUCGCGGAUGGCGAACAAGUUAGCUGGGGGAAAAAAAAAUAUUUUUGCUGUCGAAGACCGACGCAAAAUAUGACUACGGACGAAAUUUCUAUGGCGAAUUCUCAAAAUGUCCUUCUGGUGACCAAGUGGGAAGUUUUACUUCAGCUAAAUUGGAUGUAGGUCACCUUCUACCGAACUGAUUGUUUAACGUGGUUUAACGAGAUUAGGUGAAAUGACUUUCUGUCCGACGUGAAUCACGUGACUGACUGGCGGUUUCCGAACAUUCUUUGAAGUGGAAAGCAACACCAUUGUCCUAUUCCAUAAUGUUAUAAUGUUUUCCAGUCUUUUUGUGAAAUGUUGAUCAAAUGACUUUUAUCCACAUAAUUAAAACGACAGCCACGUUUGAGUAUGAACACUGGAAAUUCCUUAUGUGGUUAUUUAUCCAUCUAAGAAUAUUGCGAUCCCAGAUAAUGCGAUACAUUUAUUGCUGGUUUACUAUUGGACCACAUUGGGUCACAUGACCCAGAUUAUCCAGACAGUUGCUUCGCUUUUGUUUCAUUUGCAGGCUAGCAAACCACACAGUUGGGCCCAAUAUCAGUUAACUGUUCAUAGUUGUUGUUUGGCGUGUAAAUGCGUUUUGUUUGUGGUGAUUUGACUUUUGUCACCAUGACUGUAGCCAGCACUGUCGGGAAGGACAUUGUCCCUUGAGGCAGUUCGGAGUUAUCGCUUCUCGGCCUUUUGGCUAAGAUCAAGUGUAGUAUCUGUUCUUAUCAGUUUAAUAUCUGAUACGUCCCCUAUCGGGGACCAUAUAUUAAAUUGAUUUUUGGAACUGGGAGAUGGAAUAGGGGCUUGCUCCGUCCACUCCACGCAUCGACCUGGUAUUGCAGUACCUCCAGGAACGGUGCACA